rnacentral:rRNA from 1 species
GACGAACGCUGGCGGCGUGCUUAACACAUGCAAGUCGAGCGGUAAGGCCCUUCGGGUACACGAGCGGCGAACGGGUGAGUAACACGUGGGCAACCUGCCCUGCACUCUGGGAUAAGCCCGGGAAACUGGGUCUAAUACCGGAUAUGACCUUAGGUCGCAUGAUCUAGGGUGGAAAGUUCCGGCGGUGCAGGAUGGGCCCGCGGCCUAUCAGCUUGUUGGUGGGGUAGUGGCCUACCAAGGCGACGACGGGUAGCCGGCCUGAGAGGGCGACCGGCCACACUGGGACUGAGACACGGCCCAGACUCCUACGGGAGGGCAGCAGUGGGGAAUAUUGCGCAAUGGGCGAAAGCCUGACGCAGCGACGCCGCGUGAGGGAUGACGGCCUC